AGUUCUGGAAACCUCCUGCUGUUGUCAAAACACAGCUGAGACAUGGAAAUGAUGUUUGUUACACAUCCAAACUAAAAAAGGUCCCUCUGUUUGUCACUUUCCAUCUUCCAGAUGGUUUUUUAACAGAUCAUUAACGCAGAUCAUUUGGACACCACACAAUCAACCUCCUGUCUUAUUGAAAAUGACCACUUAUUUGUACACUUUAUGUUCUCUCUUUGCCAGCAGCUUCUGAUUUAUGAUAGUAUUUCCACUCAUCGGGUGGCUAGUUGGCUUCCUUAGCUACUUCUUAUGAGGCGCUUUGUCAAGUGACUGUUUUAAAGUCCAAAUAAAAAUGUAUGUAUGCCACUUCUCCUUUA